UCUCUGGUGGCUCAGAUGGUAAAGCAUCUGCCUACAAUGCAGGAGGCCUGGGUUCAACUCUUGGGUUGGGAA
rnacentral:tRNA from 1 species